rnacentral:piRNA from 1 species
UCCCGACACAUAAUAAUCAGAACAUCAAAUGCA